rnacentral:lncRNA from 1 species
CUGUUAAUGGGCACAGAAGUUCAACUUGAUAUGUGUCUACUCAGAGCACUGCCUGAUUCUAUCUUCACAUAGCAGUUAUUACCCUCGGGGACAAAUUAUGUCUUGCAUUGUGCACUCUCAUCCCUUCACCGAAGACUUGACAGUCCAUCCACCUAGGAAAAAACAUAUACUGCACUUAGUUUCACAGGUUGAAGACUGCAGGAAGCCAUAUUUAUUCAGAAAGUUUUUGCAGUUAUCAUCGAUCUAUGUUUGAUGAAAAUGUUUGAGGCAGUGAGCCAACCUGGACUUUCGAGCAUUAUGACAUAUAACAUUGUUCCCUCUCAUGUGGCUGUGAGUGGCAUGCCUGGUGUUGUCUGGGGACCUCAGGAUGUAACUGUGGCUGAUAUAUCAUUAAGGGGACUAGUAUGCAGCAGGAACAGCAGCCUAGAGAUGAAACUGUUUCCUUUUGACACCUGCAUCACAUCUGAGCAAAGGAGGAGGCCCUGCAGUCCUAAGGCUGGACGGUAGCCUGCUUGGCAGGCUCAGUGAGUGGUUGUGCCUCUUGCUGAUCUCCCUGGGCACUGAAGCACCAACUGAAGCACUGCAUCGAAUCACCACUCAAAAUAAAUAUCCAGGGUGGCCCUCCUGUAUUGACUAU